GUAUGAACAAGGCAACAAGUUCAAAAGAUAUAUCAGAAGUCAGCAGAGGUCGUAGUACUGUGCGGAGGAAAGGGCAGAGAAAUCCAGCCCUUAUUGCUCCGUAUUGGAAGGAC
rfam:Parcubacteria group bacterium CG1_02_50_68 cg1_0.2_scaffold_1833_c, whole genome shotgun sequence.